ACCAUCCUUUUCUUGGGGUUGCACUACUGUUUAAUGAGCACCUGGUGAGGGCAGUACUGCUAACGCCUGAACAACAGCCCGCAUCAACUAGAGCUUUAUCUUGGUGCAAUUUUUGGAAAA